rnacentral:rRNA from 1 species
AGCGAACGCUGGCGGCGUGCCUAACACAUGCAAGUCGAACGUGAAAUGGGGCAACCCAAAGUAAAGUGGCGUACGGGUGAGUAACACGUAGGUAAUCUACCUUAGAGUCUGGAAUAACCGGCCGAAAGGCUGGCUAAUACUGGAUAGAGCGACGGAACUCGUAAUUGGGUUUUUCGGAAAGGGAGCUCGCAAGAGCCUUCGCUUUAAGAUGAGCCUGCGUCUCAUUAGCUAGUUGGUAAGGUAAUGGCUUACCAAGGCAGUGAUGAGUAGCUGGUCUGAGAGGAUGAUCAGCCACACUGGAACUGAAACACGGUCCAGACUCCUACGGGAGGCAGCAGUGGGGAAUCUUGCGCAAUGGACGAAAGUCUGACGCAGCCACGCCGCGUGAGUG